UUAGAAGAAGAUUAUCUCUGUGAAAGCUUACAUCUGAACUUGUAUAUUCUUUAUCAUGAAGUCUAUGAGAAAGGCAAACCUAUCUCUCUUUUUGACAAAAGAUCUGAUAAUCUUAACUUUUUAAUGAGUUGACUAAUGAGCUAAUAUGGUGGUGGAUUACCUAGAGCUAAGGAAGUAGAGGUCUGUUUUCUAGCUGUCAAGAUGCCAUUUGUUUAGCUGUCAAUGUAAUAAAAAAUCUGAGAAGAAUAACCUAUCACUUAGAUGUCAUAUACUAAUUAAACUGACAGAGGUUAGUUUAUAGUCCACGACCUAAACAGUUUUCCCAGGUCCCUGUGGUCUCCAUCACAUUUCAGGCAGAGGUAGUCUGCCCAUCAGGCCUAGACGAUCAGAGGCUUUAUGCUGUGGAGCAAGAAUGCAGGAGCAAUGACUCACUUUAUCUUAGGCAAUAUGUGGCACUUAGUUCUCUGGGUGUCAUGUAUUUGUCUAUAGAUUGGGCUGAGCCCUUGCACCAGGCAAGGAAAGAGAACAAUCUCUCACAGUGGGCAUCAUACCACAAUCCAGGUAGAGUUACUUGUCGCUGUGUCUGUAUCUUCUUGGAGACAUUAUCGGGGUUCACUGUUAGGAUUUGGAGAUCUCUGUCUGUCAUAGUAAACUUAAACACUUAAUGUUAUAUUUAGCAGCUUUCUGACAAGAUUGAGUGCUAGGAUCUAUUAAGUAUAUCUAAAUUAGGCAAUUUGGGUCUGGUUUUAAUUAUUUGUUCUAGGUUGUAUCCAGGAAACAAUGAGAGUACAUUAUAACUUGAUGACAGUAAUGACAGCAGCAAAAACAAGGCUAAAUAUAUAUAUUUAAGGCAGUGACCAUUAACAGUUUCAUUGUUGUGAAUCUUUACAAUAAUAUUAAAAUUCUUAUUUACAAAGGCAGUAUAGAAAUGAAUAUAAAACGUUUUUCUUAAUUGUUAAGUGUCUUUGGCAACUUUAAGUCAUGAUAUUCCCCUAAAGACAGAUGUGAAGUAGGGACUGCCCAUAUCAAAGAUGUCAGAUAGUCAUGAGCUAGCCUACAACCAAGAUAUCCCUGAAGUUAUAGCUCCAGCUGUAGAGGAAAAUCAUGUGUUUGUUAUAUCUUAGAAUGGAAUGACACUUAUCUGUAGAAGCAUGGCUAUAUAUCAGCAGAGAAAAACAUACAAAGAUACAAAUAGGAAUGUUCUAUCUGGUAGACAAGGCAUUAUGUGAAGAUCUCUCCCUGUUGCCACAAGCAGCCUCUACCACUGAGCUGGUCCUAGUGGCAUGGGCUGAGCAGCACAGUCUAAGUGGUGGAUGGUGGUAUCUGAGGCAGGCACAUGGAGCAUCUCUGCUCCUCUUUCUCCCACCACAGCUGACUUAAAGCUGGUGCAGAUCAGAAUGAAAAGGAGAUAAAAUCUCCAAGGAAGUAGAAAUUUAAGACUGCCUGUUGGAGCAAACAGCUAGUAGCAACAUUUGCUACAGAAUGAGUUAAGUCUGAAACAAGAUCUCAGAUCCACAGGGUCAGAGAGCAGAGGGAAAGCUAGCUGGAUCAAGGAAAAAAACAGUUGGGAGGAAAAGUGGGCAAAAGCCUGCACAAACAAAAACCUUCCAGUUUUCAGAACACUGGUGAGAGUUGUAAACAUUUUUUUUCAAUGUGCAGUUAAGUGGCCAUUUAGAGCUAUUAUCUUACAGAUAUUGGGCCAAAUUUACCCUGUGAAUUUGGAAGCCAUUAAGACCAUGAAACAUCACAAUAUGGAGCUUGGAAAUAGCAAUGAAACCAUUGCCUUUAAAUGAGGAUAAGAGUUAUUAACCUUAUCACUUGUGGUGUCCCGAGGAUAACUUAAUAACUAAAUAUGAAACAAGCAGCCAGACUAGAUUAUCAGGUCAUCAGGAGGUAACUCUGGGGUUGAGCUGCAUAGCUAGCUCCUGAGCUGUGGGGUCAGUGCCCAAGGAAGAAAAUUUUACCUAGGCCUAGGAUUUUCCAGCAGUGAGAGAGAGAAAAGCCAUUUCAAGUAAAAAAGAGUGCUUACUCAAAGUUAGAGCUCCUAAAAUGAGGAGUCAACCAAAAGGCAGUCAUGUAGGCUAUGAAUACCUCUGUGUCCCAAGACACUAUAGGCGGUAGAUGCAAGCUCAAUAGUGGCCAGGGGCCAUUUACUCUGAUGUGUGUGUGUGUGUGUGUGUGUGUGUGUGUGUGUGUGUGUGUGUGUGUGUCCGGGAUGCUUACCAUUUUACCUAUGAUUGGAUAGAGAGAAAUAUCAAUCCAAUGGCUGUAAUGUCCAUGAGGUGGCAGGAAAUGUGAACCUGCCAAUGUGGAAAUACAACUUACUGCAGCAAAUGAUGAGUUUUAAAUCCAGGGAUAUAUUUUUGUGGAACACAAUUUGGUGCAAUGGGUGCCUCAGCAGGCCCAUGCUGAGGCAUCCCUUCCCCCCAAAAACCAGUCAAAAGAUGGGUCUAGUAUAGAAUAGAGUUGAUUUGGGAAAUGGGGAUGAAAGUUGGGAAGGGAGUAUGGACAGAGGAGAGAGAGAGAGAUAGAGAGAGAGAGAGAGAUCAGUUGUGAAUACCUAGAGACCAGGGGAUGUAGAAGUAGAGUGGGAGAAGGAGAACAGAGAGAUAAGAGGGAUAUAGAGAGAUCAAACAGUCCCUUUCAUAGCAAGACUACCUGGCUUUAGGUAGGUAACUGAUGGGCAGAACCUAGAAGGAAUGCUAAAGUGCUAACACAUUUGGUAGUUCCUUAUGCAUUUCCCUUUCCAAUGUCAUGUACUCUUUGACUUCCAGAAAAGAUAUUAACAAGUCGUAUUUACAUUUGCUGGAAAAUAAUUGUGUAUGAACAUUUAAAAUCAGAAGUCCUCCUACAUUUUUGUUUGCACUUUCAUUUUCAUAUUCAGCAGGCAUCUAAAUCACGAAGGCUUAAAGGUGCAUAGAAGACCCUGAGUGAUGUUUUUUGCUUGUGAAAACCAAGUACUGCUCUGCAAGAUUUCCAAUAACUCAUUUCAGAAAUCUCAAAACUAAAUAUAACUGCAGAUCUGGAGAUAU
rnacentral:lncRNA from 1 species